GGAAAUGCAUGUGAGGUUGUUUUCUCCAAAAACAUUGCAACAAGCAUAUUCUUGUGCUAAGCUUCAAAGUGCAGUUUGGGACGCCAAGAGAAAAGGGGUUCUGAGAACAUCAACCAAGGUAAUAAACAGUGAAGUGAAGUGUAGCAACCCUCAUGAUAGUUCAAGAACUGCAUCCUGGGUGCCAUACAAGGGAAACACCAACCAAAACAGGGUAAUUCUUCCACCCUCAUCUUCUCCAAGAUUGCUACCCACACCACCGGUUAGAAAAUUGAUUGAGGC
rnacentral:lncRNA from 1 species